ensembl:rRNA 5S_rRNA 5S ribosomal RNA
GCUUACGGCCAUUCCAGCCCAAGAACGCCAGUCUCGUCUGAUCUCGGAAGCUAAGGCUUGGGCCUGGUUAGUACUUGGAUGCCAGAGCUCCUGGCAAUACCAGGUGCUGUAAGCU